GUCAGGAUGGCCGAGUGGUCUAAGGCGCCAGACUCAAGCUUCUGCUUCCCACGCUCGGGGUUUCCAGUCUCCAGAUGGAGCCGUGGGUUCAAAUCCUACUUCUGACA
rnacentral:tRNA from 1 species